UACGUAGGGUGCGAGCGUUGUCCGGAAUUAUUGGGCGUAAAGAGCUCGUAGGCGGUGUGUCACGUCGGCCGUGAAAACCUGCAGCUUAACUGUGGGCGUGCGGUCGAUACGGGCAUCACUGGAGUUCGGCAGGGGAGACUGGAAUUCCUGGUGUAGCGGUGAAAUGCGCAGAUAUCGGGAAGAACACCCGUGGCGAAGGCGGCUCUCUGGGACGGUACUGACGCUGAGACGCGAAAGCGUGGGGAGCGAACAGG
rnacentral:rRNA from 1 species